UAGGCAUCGACGACAAUCAACCCGAGUUGUGACCCUUUGUGCUUGAAGUAGUUGAAUUUGGUGCCAUUAUUACUGCCAUAUGAUUAGUAUAAGUACUGGAUGCUUUGGCAUGAAACAUUAAGCUUUGAAAGUAAUGUUAGAAGCUACAUAAUGGCACACUUUGAUUUCCGUGAUGAUGAAUUGGGUGGAAGAGCGGUGGGUGGUCUGCCAUCAACAACUACAAUCCAGAACACACCCACUUGGCGGCCUCCAGUCAUGUGCUUUGCCCAUCGAGUAUCUUGAGGAUCUACAUCAUCAUCUGCAAUUUAAGAAAUCACAUGCUCUUUACAUGGAGGAAUAAGUUUGAGCGGUCUGAAAAGUGAUGUACAGAGUUCCAAUACUAAUUGCAGAGGUAAUUAGAGUUUGCUGUCAUUAUUUACAGAAUUCUGUACUCUUGAUAGUAUAGAGGAAUGAAUGAGGAACCCUCCACAGCACUUAAUUCAAAUAUUGAGGCUUAAUUUUUUUGUUUUAUUAACCAAGUAAAAGUUUGGUAAGUGGCAGUCUCCCCUGCCAAAUAUCCAAGGUCAUGAGGCAUACAGUCAGGGAUAGGACAAUUCAUUACAACAAAGCGAUGCUUUGCCCACAUUUACAUCGACAUUGUGGAACCCCUACCCAUUCACCCUCCAAAGGGUACAGGUAACUUCACAAUCACUGACCAGAUUACCAGAUGGCAUGACACAGUACCUCUCAGAUAGUGGAAAUUUGUGUGCUGGCUUUAAUAAACUGGGUCAGCCAGCACUGAAUACACAUCACUUGCAAUAGGGGCCGCAACUUCACGCAUAAAACCCAGAAGCAAAUGGUAUGAUCAAGCAGUUCUACUGCUCCCUGAAAGCAGUGCUCACCACCAAAUGUUGAGAUUGGAGGUGGAGAAGAGUUGCUGUGUAUAUCAUUAGGACUGAGAAUGGCCCCACAUGCAGAAUUUAACACGUUGCCGGAAGAAGCACUAAGGAUGGUCACUAGCAAUAGUACCAGCAGAGCCACCCAUUCCCUCCCAAUGACCGUAGAAUAUUGAAAAGAAUACCAGAAAAAACACACAAUGCAGUCAGAAAUGCCUACGUCCCCAAAGAACUGUGCCGAACAAAAUAGCAUGCAUUUAUAAGAAUUGAUGCACACGUCCUCCUCCUGCCUGUAAAACUCUCCGAGGGAGCCACCAUUCAUAACAACAAACUUGACCUACUGCAGAACAAAGUUUCCGCAGAAAACGCAAAUCAAAGAUGGUUGGCUGGAGCAGUGAUUUUCAUGUAUUUGCAGGAAGUACAGUACUCUCAUUUGUAAAACCAAAUCCAUCUGUAAAUGUAAAAUUGCUUCAAGCUUUUGAAGCAUAUGUAAGGAGAAUUUUCCUUAUUUUGUACAAAGAAUUGUUAACUUUUUUCCAUAUGUUAGUAGACACCUGACUAAAAUUAUACCCAUCUUGCUCUGAUGUUAGACUUCUGCAUUUGCGGAAGUUCAUGUCUUGUCAGAAAUAUGUGAUAUUAAAUUA